UACGGAGGGUGCGAGCGUUGUCCGGAAUCAUUGGGCGUAAAGGGCGCGUAGGUGGCCCGGUGAGUCUUUGGUGAAAGCGCGGGGCUCAACCCUGCGUCGGCCAGGGAUACUGCCGCGGCUCGAGCACUGUAGAGGCAGGCGGAAUUCCGGGUGUAGCGGUGGAAUGCGUAGAGAUCCGGAGGAACCCCAGAGGCGAAGGCGACGCCCUGGCUCGUACCUGACGCUCAGCCACGAAAGCAUGGGGAGCGAACGGG
rnacentral:rRNA from 1 species